rnacentral:rRNA from 1 species
UAGGGAAUCUUCGGCAAUGGACGGAAGUCUGACCGAGCAACGCCGCGUGAGUGAAGAAGGUUUUCGGAUCGUAAAGCUCUGUUGUAAGAGAAGAACGAGUGUGAGAGUGGAAAGUUCACACUGUGACGGUAUCUUACCAGAAAGGGACGGCUAACUACGUGCCAGCAGCCGCGGUAAUACGUAGGUCCCGAGCGUUGUCCGGAUUUAUUGGGCGUAAAGCGAGCGCAGGCGGUUAGAUAAGUCUGAAGUUAAAGGCUGUGGCUUAACCAUAGUAGGCUUUGGAAACUGUUUAACUUGAGUGCAGGAGGGGAGAGUGGAAUUCCAUGUGUAGCGGUGAAAUGCGUAGAUAUACGGAGGAACACCGGCGGCGAAAGCGGCUCUCUGGCUUGUAACUGACGCUGAGGCUCGAAAGCGUGGGGAGCAAACAGGAUUAGAUACCCUGGUAGUCCACGCUGUAAACGAUGAGUGCUAGGUGUUAGACCCUUUCCGGGGUUUAGUGCCGUAGCUAACGCAUUAAGCACUCCGCCUGGGGAGUACGACCGCAAGGUUG